rnacentral:rRNA from 1 species
UGGGGAAUAUUGCACAAUGGGCGAAAGCCUGAUGCAGCAACGCCGCGUGAGCGAAGAAGGUCUUCGGAUUGUAAAGCUCUGUCCCUGGGGAAGAUAAUGACGGUACCCAAGGAGGAAGCCCCGGCUAACUACGUGCCAGCAGCCGCGGUAAUACGUAGGGGGCGAGCGUUAUCCGGAAUUAUUGGGCGUAAAGAGUGCGUAGGUGGUUACCUAAGCAGGGGGUGAAAGGCACUGGCUUAACCAAUGUCAGCCCUCUGAACUGGGCUACUUGAGUGCAGGAGAGGAAAGCGGAAUUCCUAGUGUAG